AACGAACGCUGGCGGCAUGCCUAACACAUGCAAGUCGAACGAGACCUUCGGGUCUAGUGGCGCACGGGUGCGUAACGCGUGGGAACCUGCCCUUAGGUUCGGAAUAACUCCCCGAAAGGGGUGCUAAUACCGGAUAAUGUCUUCGGACCAAAGAUUUAUCGCCUUUGGAUGGGCCCGCGUUGGAUUAGCUAGUUGGUAGGGUAAAAGCCUACCAAGGCGACGAUCCAUAGCUGGUCUGAGAGGAUGAUCAGCCACACUGGGACUGAGACACGGCCCAGACUCCUACGGGAGGCAGCAGUGGGGAAUAUUGGCCAAUGGGCGAAAGCCUGAUCCAGCAAUGCCGCGUGAGUGAUGAAGGCCUUAGGGUUGUAAAGCUCCUUUACCCGGGAUGAUAAUGACAGUACCGGGAGAAUAAGCUCCGGCUAACUCCGUG
rnacentral:rRNA from 1 species